UACGGAGGGUGCAAGCGUUAUCCGGAUUCACUGGGUUUAAAGGGUGCGUAGGUGGGCAAGUAAGUCAGUGGUGAAAUCUCCGGGCUUAACCCGGAAACUGCCAUUGAUACUAUUUGUCUUGAAUACUGUGGAGGUCAGCGGAAUAUGUCAUGUAGCGGUGAAAUGCUUAGAUAUGACAUAGAACACCAAUUGCGAAGGCAGCUGGCUACAAAAAUAUUGACACUGAGGCACGAAAGCGUGGGGAUCAAACAGG
rnacentral:rRNA from 1 species